rnacentral:rRNA from 1 species
UACGUAGGGGGCAAGCGUUGUCCGGAAUCAUUGGGCGUAAAGAGCGUGUAGGCGAUCCGGUCAGUCGGUUGUGAAAGUCAAGGGCUCAACCCUUGAAUGCCGGCCGAUACUGCCGGGCUAGAGUCCGGAAGAGGUGAGUGGAAUUCCUGGUGUAGCGGUGAAAUGCGCAGAUAUCAGGAGGAACACCGAUGGCGAAGGCAGCUCACUGGGACGGUACUGACGCUGAGGCGCGAAAGCGUGGGGAGCAAACAGG